rnacentral:rRNA from 1 species
GACCCGAAACCCGGUGAUCUAGCCAUGGGCAGGUUGAAGGUUGGGUAACACUAACUGGAGGACCGAACCGACUAAUGUUGAAAAAUUAGCGGAUGACUUGUGGCUGGGGGUGAAAGGCCAAUCAAACCGGGAGAUAGCUGGUUCUCCCCGAAAGCUAUUUAGGUAGCGCCUCGUGAAUUCAUCUCCGGGGGUAGAGCACUGUUUCGGCAAGGGGGUCAUCCCGACUUACCAACCCGAUGCAAACUGCGAAUACCGGAGAAUGUUAUCACGGGAGACACACGGCGGGUGCUAACGUCCGUCGUGAAGAGGGAAACAACCCAGACCGCCAGCUAAGGUCCCAAAGUCAUGGUUAAGUGGGAAACGAUGUGGGAAGGCCCAGACAGCCAGGAUGUUGGCUUAGAAGCAGCCAUCAUUUAAAGAAAGCGUAAUAGCUCACUGGUCGAGUCGGCCUGCGCGGAAGAUGUAACGGGGCUAAACCAU